rnacentral:rRNA from 1 species
GAUGAACGCUGGCGGCGUGCCUAAUACAUGCAAGUCGAGCGAACGGACGAGAAUCGUUCUUCUCUGAUGUUAGCGGCGGACGGGUGAGUAACACGUGGAUAACCUACCUAUAAGACUGGGAUAACUUCGGGAAACCGGAGCUAAUACCGGAUGAUAUUUUGAACCUCAUGGUUCAACAGUGAAAGACGGUCUUGCUGACACUUAUAGAUGGAUCCGCGCUGCAUUAGCUAGUUGGUAAGGUAACGGCUUACCAAGGCAACGAUGCAUAGCCGACCUGAGAGGGUGAUCGGCCACACUGGAACUGAGACACGGUCCAGACUCCUACGGGAGGCAGCAGUAGGGAAUAUUCCGCAAUGGGCGAAAGCCUGACGGAGCAACGCCGCGUGAGUGAUGAAGGUCUUCGGAUCGUAAAACUCUGUUAUUAGGGAAGAACAUAUGUGUAAGUAACUGUGCACAUCUUGACGGUACCUACUCAGAAAGCCACGGCUAACUACGUG